rnacentral:sRNA from 1 species
ACAAAAAAACAAAACAACAACCAACCAACCAAACAAACAAACAAAAAAACAGCCUGUGGGAAACCUUGAGGAGGAGCUUUGAGCCGCAGCAGCUUCAGGCUGGAGGGAGCUAGGCUCUGCCACCAGUGUUAGGUCUCCUGGGGCGGACCCUCCCUGCACGUGACUGACAGUUUUGCUUCUCUUUCUCCGGCACUUUGCAGCUAUUAGGCAGUGCACAGAGACACACAACUUUACUUCUAAAGAGCUUCUCUGUUGCCAUAGAAAUUAAUUGGUGAUGUAGUUAAAUGGAACAGAUUUAGCUACAAAGUGACAGAAGAGCUUUUAGGAGCUGUAAGAGUCCAGUGGCUUCCAGUGUGACUGAACAUUUCAGAGUGUGCAUGGCUUCACCAGAAAUGGGGAAAGCACAGAAUGAAGAUGCAGCACAGUUCACUGUGACAGAACAAAUGGAGGACAGACAGCACAACACCGUCAGUGUGAGGAUGCCUGGCAGUCAGUCACCCUCCCCAGAGCACAUGGCUAGCCAGGAGAGGAAACAGAAGCCACGGGUCAGGACUGUCUGACACGGAGAAGGCAGUGCCAAGGAAACACGAGGCGGGCUCCUGAUGUAAUUACAAUUCAAUUCUCUAGAACGGUUCUAGGAAGCCACAUUGGAAAAGGUAAGAGGGAAAUGUCACAAUGCAUCCUAUGGAACCCAGUAUAACCCAGUGUAUCCCAGACACUGUCAGCUCAGUACACCGCGUGGCCGAGCUUCAAGGAUUCAACAGCCGCACACUAGACAGCAAAGGGCCAGAGGCCCUGUGGAUGGGGAACACAUAGGACAGCGUAGGCUCUAUGGUGUACUCUGUCUGCAGGAGCAAGAGCAUCACAGGGGCGUGUGGGCGGGGCUCGGGCACAGCAGGCAGUGGCUGUCAGUGUCUCUGGGAAUAGGAGCAUAGCUCUCAGAUGAACGCCUGCAUGGCUUCGCAUAGGAUAGCAUUGCCCUCCCUCCCCAAAGGCCAUCACAACACUAGUUAAACAUAUCCGAAAAAUUCCGGAACAACGUAAACUGAGGGCUCAGAACAAAUCAAAAUAUUCAACUGCAAGCCCUUCACUGAGUAGGGUGCAAAUAUCAGAUGCAGGGAGAAAUUCUAUUACGGAGACCCUGAGAUGGCUUGCCUGUCCUCUCAGAGAUUUUCAUGAGAAAAUUAAUAUUGAAAGGAACCCUUUUUUCCCCCCAAAAUAUUCAGCAGACCACCAGGUUGGACAUAUUUUUAUGUAUAACAAAGUGGCAGUUAAGAUAUCCAUUGGAUGGCCACUCCCCAAAGAAAAGACAGGUUUUACAAAGUCUUUAAAAAAAGUAGCAAGGUUGGUUACAAAAUUGUAUCUGGGGGACAAGAGACACUGUUUCACAUCAAUUGCACUUCAGGAUCAAAUUGCUUCAUAGGCGAUUGUCCCCUAGCAGCACUACAGCUGGGGGCGUCCCUCCCUUGGUGGGCUGGCUGCAUGGUGACUGUGGGGACUCUGGGGCUGAACAAGCCGGCAGUAACCACCGUUGCCAUCUCUCACCUACCACACAGAGCUGUCUUAAUAUGAGUUUAACUGCAACAACCAGUGAUGUGGACACAAAGCCCAGCCACACUGGCUAAGGAAGUGGGCUUGCCCAGCGCCAGUGCGGCGUAUGAUUAUCAAUGCGGUUCGUCUCCGAGCUCUGAUUCUGAACGAGGUUUCUAACUGAAACUUUUCAAGUAUAAAUAUUAACCAGGUAAAGAUUCUCUCCCUCUUAUUAACUCUCACUUUAUGCCGUCUAAGGGUCGACUGUGUUGAAUAAAGGACAAACAUAGCUUUCAAAACAU